rnacentral:lncRNA from 1 species
AAGACAAUGGCCUAGACAGCAGGUCCCACCCUGCACAGCCGCCAACACCUCUCCCCCUAACCCUGUCUCCUCCUCUGCAGUUGGGUCUGCGCUUUAUUCUGCUAAGCCUGAAAUAAGAAAAAAAAAAAAAAAAGAAUUUCAAAGUAUUCUAUAAAAACUAUUCCAGCCCUUGGACAUGCAGAGGUAGCUGUAGACUGUUGAAGAUAGGAGAGGCCAAUAGGACAAAGAUUUGAGCCAGAGUUUGUAUCAAAUGGCCAAUAAAUAUGAGUUCCCUCAUGGACUCUGGGCCCCCCAUCUCUGAGUCCCAGGACUUCUCCUCAGCUCCCAGUCAGGCAGGGGAGGGGAAGGGGGCCCAAGGCAGCUGCAGGGGCUGUGUUAGUAAACACUUUCCUGGGUUCCCAUUUUCUUCACCCCCCCCACCCUUCUCCACUCCCUGAUGCCCCUUACACAAUCCCACCCCCCAGCAUCCCCCUUUCUGUGGUCUGCACAAUGAGCUCAUUGUCCUGGGUGUGAUUUGAAUAAGGGAUCUGCGGGCCUGUUCCCAGCAUUGUCCAAGGGGCUGGGAAAAACCCCAGCGCAGGCAGGAGGACCAGACCAGACAGAGACAGAUGCCUAAAUUAGCAACAAAGCUUUGUGCAGGUCCCCCGGACAAGGGCUUGCCUUGUUUGCGUGGACUCGAGGGUGUGGAGCUGGCCGGCUGCUCACAUGUCUCCCCAUGUUAAUUAGUUUUGCAUGCAUGUCUGAGAAGGUGCCAGGGGAGAUGUGUUUGCCUUUCCCGGGGAGGGGGCCCUGUUUGUAGCUGGCCAGCAGGCUGGGGGCUGUGGAGCUGAGCAGAGCUGGGCCUACCUGGGGAGCCAGACUCUGAGAUUGGUUUGAGAAUCUCAGAUCCCCCAUCUUCUUGCUCUGUUUUUCUGCCCUUGGGGUAGGGGCCGACUUUAUUCCCUGAGCCCCCUCCCAUCCUACCCCUGCACAUCUGAAAGUUGGUCAGCUCUGACUAUAGGGAACUCACUGGCUUCCACCCAGACCCUGGCCAGUGCCUAUCCAUCUGGCGGUCUGUCUCUCGCGACACAGGGCCCCUUGGGACAGGACAGCAGAAGCGGCCAGUCUGGGCUCUCCUCUGUACCCGAGCCAGAUGGCCAGUCUGCUUAUCGCAUUAUGACCUCCCAUGUCCCCAGACCCAUGCCACCCGUGGUGGGCCAGGAUCUUGUUUGGGAUUGUUUGGGAUAUGAUGGAGAAGCUUCCCUUUAAGCUUUUGGAGAGGUCUGGCCUGAAAGGAAAGGGGUCUGGUACAGAGGGCACAAGGUGUGGCCUUACCACUCUGUGACCUCAGGCAGGCCACAUCCCCAAACCUCUGAAUCUCGGUUUUUCCAUUGGUGAGAUGAUUGAGUUGAACUUCAGGAAUCUCUUGGUUCCCUCCUGGCCCAAAAAGUCUGUGAUGAUGGUGAUUCUUUCAAACCUGUGUUUGAUUUAGCGCUCUCUGAUUUACAUGGUGAAGGAGGGACAGUGAAUUCUGGCUAGAGGUGAUAGUGAGUAUUGCGGGAAGGAUUUCAUUCCUCUAGUGUAGGCCUGUGUUUUCAGAGUAGAUGGAGGAUCAGGAGCAGACAAGGCUUAUCUUCAGGUUCUUACAAACCCUCCUCUGCAGCAUGAGCCCUUCUUGUCCUGCCUUUAUGCUACAGUGGUGAGAAACAAGCUCUUGCCCAGCUGAAGGGAGCUGAAGGCAGUGGCCACACAGGAGAAGCUAAAGGGAGAGCAGCUGCUGGCCAGGGCCCUGGAUGUGUCCCAGUCGCCCCCUGCAGGCCCUGGGAUAGGGGACAGGGAUGCUUGCCAAAGCUGAGCUGAGCCAGACCUCCCAGACAACUUCCCGGCUAUUGCAUUCAGAGUCUCUCUACCUCUACAGCCCCUUACAGUAACUCAGGGAGUGAGGGGCAGGGGUGGAACAUUGUUCUUCUUGUUCAGGUGCAAGGACUCAGGAUUCAGUGGCCAGGGCAUUUGAUUCCUAACUCUUUGCUGGUCUUUCCCUGCUACUCAGCCCUGCUGGCCUUGCCCUCUUGUUCACACAGCCUCUAGAUUAAUUGGAAGCCUAAGCCUAGGAUUACUUACAGUCCAAAAUGUUGUAUGCCAAAGCUUCCAGUCCUUUUGUUGUUGUUGUUGUUGUUGUUGUUGUUAAUGGGAAUUGAACCUAAGGAGCUUUACUACUGAGCUUCAUCCCAGGGUAACUCCUACAGAAAGAAGGGAACUUAAUUUAUUCUCUGUGUGUGCUAUAUUUAUUUUAUAAUACUAGGGAACCCAGAGGCUUGUACAUGUGAGGCAAGCAUCUACUACUGAGCUACAUUCUCCCUGCUUUAUUUUAGUAUAGGAUCUCACUAAGUUG